rnacentral:rRNA from 1 species
CUCGUAGGCGGUUCAACAAAGUCGGUCGUGAAAGCCCGGGGCUCAACCCCGGGACGCCGGUCGAAACUGUUGUGACUAGGGUCCGGUAGAGGUGAGUGGAAUUCUCGGUGUAGCGGUGGAAUGCGCAGAUAUCGAGAGGAACACCAGUAGCGAAGGCGGCUCACUGGGCCGGUACCGACGCUGAGGAGACGAAAGCAGUGGGGAGCAAACA